CUCUGAUGACAGUGAAGAGCCAGAAAAUGGUGACUUUGCAUCUCUGAGGUACCUUCCAACUCGCCUGGUAUAUCAGUUGAAGCCUCAAGCCUAAGCCAAUUGCACUGGCAAACUCCACCAUCUCGCCGAGUGCCAGGCAGCCGAGUCACUACCCCUCAACCUGGAGAAAACUGUUAAGCACCUCACCAUGGGGCAGGACCGCAACCCUCUUCACCACCUCAACUCCCUGCACCUGCAUUUAACAUACGGAGAGUUACUCAAGGUAGGGACUGAUCUCUGAAAUAUUAGUGAAUAGAAAGGCCCCAUGUGUAUUAUCAGUCAUGGUUAACAGAUAACUACCAUU